UCACCGGGCAAGAAUCCCUGUC
rnacentral:miRNA from 1 species